rnacentral:rRNA from 1 species
UACGAAGGGGGCUAGCGUUGUUCGGAAUUACUGGGCGUAAAGCGUGCGCAGGCGGCUUCUCAAGUCAGGGGUGAAAGCCCAGAGCUCAACUCUGGAAUUGCCUUUGAGACUGAGUGGCUUGAGUACGAGAGAGGUGAGUGGAAUUCCCAGUGUAGAGGUGAAAUUCGUAGAUAUUGGGAAGAACACCGGUGGCGAAGGCGGCUCACUGGCUCGUAACUGACGCUCAUGCACGACAGCGUGGGGAUCAAAAGGG